CGAGAGAGAGGUGGGGCAGACAGCCGGCAGCAGGAAUCGCAGAGCCAUCUCUGGCCAGGCAAACGAACACAAAUUCUCCCUCCUGGGCCUGCUAUGACAAACCAAAGGAAAAAGCUAACUCCAUUUGCCAGCAGGGCAAAAUACUGCCACUGGAAUUAGAAGCAGUAGCUACGGCUGCGUCAGUCUCCAAGAGCUGUCCAUGUGCAAGAUGAGAUAAAGGGGGAAACAGUACCCCAGAGUUGCACUGAGACAGCAAGCUGCCAUCCAGACCACAGUGCUUUAUCUGAAUAGAGCACACUGGAGAGGGUCAUCUUGCAUCAGACUCACAGAAAUGCCCAGAGAUGCAUGUGUAGAAUCAAUGAAGAAAUGGAGACACCCCUAGCACAAAUACCAACGUCCACAAGCAAAUGUCUAUACCCUCCUUUCAAGCAUAUCUCCAUCCUUCUCCUUCCCAUGUGGGCCUUCAGUGAACUGCUCACAUCAGCUCAGCACAUUUCUUCACUACUUGUGUUUGUAGUUGCUGUUCAUCCAUGGCAAAUAAGCUCCAGAGACACAAUCCUAAUGGAUGGGCAGACCAACAAGAGAACAUGUGACAUCUACAUGAAGAACUUCUUGCACCAUGGGAUGACAAGCAAACAGACAGCAGAAGAGCAGCACG
rnacentral:lncRNA from 1 species